CCUGAGGAAGAGUGUGGAAUGUUAAAGAAGGAACUCAGAGGACUAAAAGAAAGCUUGGUAUUUAGCCUCUGAGAUCAACGUGGGGCGUUUGAAGACAUUAAACACCACAGAGCGGGCAGGGCUCCCUCCAGGGCAGCUGAGCUGAGAGUGACCUGAGAGAGGAGGCUGCAGCAUGCCUCCUGUGACCUGGGCAGAAGACAGGAGACUGAGGGUAUCCAGUCCUCACACUUCCUUUGCAUGUGAGUGUUGAUUUGGUACAGAGCUGAGCGAGAAACUCAUCUUUGGAUGCAGGGCAUUAAUUCCAGUUGCCCUAAUUAGGAACUGUCCUGAGCCACUAAUGGAGCAUCUUCUUCCCUGACUUCAAAGCAGACUGGAACACGGUGCUAUUCCGAGUCUCCUUCUAUUCACCGAGAUGGAAACAAGUGGGUUGAUUAGCAGAUUGAAUUGCUCUCAAAGCAGCCAGGCACUGUAAAACAUCUACACAGGCAUCUUACCAACCCCCCAUGCCACCUCUUGUUCUUUAAUUAGCCCCCCUCAUUGCUCUAAUUUCCCCCCGUGGCUUAUGAUUUGCUGACUCUAAAUAAAC
rnacentral:lncRNA from 1 species